UACAGAGGCCUCGAGCGUUUGUUCGGAUUUACUGGGCGUAAAGGGAAUGUAGGCGGUAGCGUAAGUCAGAUGUGAAAAGCCCCUAGGCUUAACCUGGGGAACUGCAUUUUGAUACUGUGCUGCUAGAGUGCGAGAGAGGAAAAGUGGAAUUCCAGGUGUAGGGGGUGAAAAUCCGUAGAUAUCUGGAGGAAUACCAAUGGCGAAGGCAGCUUUUCUGGCUCGUAAACUGACGCUGAGGCGCGAAAAGCUAGGGGGAGCAAAACGGGG
rnacentral:rRNA from 1 species